ACCAAUCAGAGUAACCAUCUAGCAAUGGUGCCCAAUGUCCGGAUAGGUCAAAUGUAUGCAAAACAACACUCAAGAACCUAUUUAGAUAUAGUUACAAUAUAAUUCAUCUCUUUGACCCUUGAUGCUAAGAUGACUUAGAGAUUAAACUAUCAACUCUUAAUUGUUCAUCCAUUAUGUGUCUUAACUUAAUAAAUCCUAUGGCUCCUCAAAAAGAUUACCCUGACCA
rnacentral:lncRNA from 1 species